rnacentral:rRNA from 1 species
AUACGGAGGAUGCGAGCGUUAUCCGGAUUUAUUGGGUUUAAAGGGUGCGUAGGCUGUGCGUUAAGUCAGGGGUGAAAUGCCGUCGCUCAACGACGGAGCUGCCCUUGAUACUGGCGUGCUGGAGUACGGAUGCCGUUGGAGGAAUGAGUGGUGUAGCGGUGAAAUGCUUAGAUAUCACUCAGAACACCGAUUGCGAAGGCAUCUGACGAAUCCGUCACUGACGCUGAGGCACGAAAGCGUGGGGAUAGAACAGGAUUAGAUACCCGGGUAUUCCACGCCGUAAACGAUGAUGACUAACCGUCGGCGAUAGACAGCCGGUGGCCAAGCGAAAGCGAUAAGUCAUCCACCUGGGGAGUACGUCGGCAACGAUGAAACUCAAAGGAAUUGACGGGG